rnacentral:RNase_P_RNA from 1 species
UGUUUUGGGUAAUCGCUAUAGUGAUAUAGAGGAAAGUCCAUGCUCACACAAUCUGAGAUGAUUGUAGUGUUCGUGCUUGAUGAAACAAUAAGUCAAGGCAUUAAGUUGACGGCAACGAAAUAACCUAAGUUUAUAAAAUAUGGUUAAAUUAGUUUGAAAG